rnacentral:rRNA from 1 species
GAUGAACGCUGGCGGCGUGCCUAAUACAUGCAAGUCGAGCGAACAGACGAGGAGCUUGCUCCUCUGACGUUAGCGGCGGACGGGUGAGUAACACGUGGAUAACCUACCUAUAAGACUGGGAUAACUUCGGGAAACCGGAGCUAAUACCGGAUAAUAUAUUGAACCGCAUGGUUCAAUAGUGAAAGACGGUUUUGCUGUCACUUAUAGAUGGAUCCGCGCCGCAUUAGCUAGUUGGUAAGGUAACGGCUUACCAAGGCAACGAUGCGUAGCCGACCUGAGAGGGUGAUCGGCCACACUGGAACUGAGACACGGUCCAGACUCCUACGGGAGGCAGCAGUAGGGAAUCUUCCGCAAUGGGCGAAAGCCUGACGGAGCGACGCCGCGUGAGUGAUGAAGGUCUUCGGAUCGUAAAACUCUGUUAUUAGGGAAGAACAAAUGUGUAAGUAACUAUGCACGUCUUGACGGUACCUAAGCAGAAAGCCACGGCUAACUACGU